AAGGCGCGGAACUACUCAGUGGUGAAGGCUGUGCGGACACUGGGGGCCCGCCAGGGGUUUGGCCCCUUACUCAACCCAACCACGGUCCUCUCCGGCGCAGGCCGAUUUGAGGACCUAGACUCCUUGAUGCUGACGGCCUGAGGGGGCUCCCGGGUGCCGGAUAUCUGACACAGGCCAGGGAGGCUCCCCUGGGAGACCUGGCAGGCCUGGAGGUGUGAGUCGGCUCUGAGCAGCUGCUCUGGGAGAGCCAGUCCACGGAGCCAAAGCUGGAGGGCAGCUGCCGGCCACAAGUUGGGGAGGAGGAGAGACGCAAGGCCGUCAGAUGCUUGUCCUGGAAACCAACCAUGAGCUGUGAUGAAAUCCAGGCAACUGAGUUGUGUUUCAGCCCAAAGCAGCAAAUGGAAUCCAGCUUCAGGACCAUCAUCUGACAUAGGGGAAGAAGACUUACAUAGAAGGCCUAACCAGCACCCAAGAUCAUGGCUGGUGUCAGAGAAGGCUGAAUUGGGUACCAAGACAUUCCUUCUCUCCAGGUGGUAACAAG
rnacentral:lncRNA from 1 species